CUCCCAAUUUCCUUUAGUUUGUAUAUGCAGCAUUAGAGUUCAUUUGGAAUUUUCAGAGUUUUCUAUUGGUUGAGAAGGAUACAUUUUAUUCGUGAGAAUCAUAAUCAAAAUAAAUUAAAAUGAAAAUCGGAAUGACCACAUCCUUUAAUAUGCUUAGUUUGUGAUGGAAAAUCGAAAAUAGAAUGAAAUUUGAGUAUUAGGAGAAAAUAGAAAUUGAAUUUUGAAGAAUUGAAGUAUUCCCAUCCCUUCUAAAAGUAGAAUGAGAAUGUGACUUUUUUCCAAUUAAAUGAUCAGAACGAAAAUUAUUUAUUUUUAUUCU
rnacentral:lncRNA from 1 species